CGAACCCCAGACCUCGGUGUAGAAGCCUUUAAACCUUAACCAAUAGGCUACGGUGCUUCCACUAUUUUUAAGAUUUUAGACAAUUUUUAUUAUUAUUAGUUUUAAUCACUUAUAUUAUUAAAAAAAUCAAAUUUGUUUUUUAUUUUUACUAAUUUAUAUAUUUAGUUCAUUAAGGAUACAUUCGAUAUUAAUCACUCUACCUUGAACACAAGAGUUUCGUUGCUAAAAAUUACUUCACAAAUAAUAAUAUAGAUAGAUGUUAAUAGAUUGAAAAUAUUGACUGUGUAUAGACAUGUCAAUUAGGACCGAAGCUACGAACCCUAAAAGUUAGCGAACUUGGGCUUAGUUUUAUAAGCCCAAAAAAUAUUGGGUCUUUCAGGCUAAGCCCGCUUUGGGUAUUUUGGACUUAAGCCCGUUUGGACUAGGACCAAUCCGAAAAUCCAAAAUUUUAUACUUUAUUUAAAUAUUAUUGUUAUUGCAAUCCGAUUAUUAGUAUAUUGACGUAUUAUUUUAAUAUUUUUAUCCAAACUCUAAUAAAGCAAAUAUAAAAGUUGUUAAUAAUUUGAUUAUUUGAUCAUUAUAAGUGUCACAUUUUAAAUUUUGUAAAUGUACUUUCUUCUUUUAUGUACAACAUAUUUUUUUCAAUAUACAAAGUAGAAACGUUUAAUGAUGUUUAUCAUAAAUUUUGUUUUCUUACAUAUUUAGUUUUAAUUUGUAUUUGUUUAUUUAAAUCAUAUUAAAUUUGAUUUGUUUAUAAUAUAUUUUUAAAGCAUAAGAAAAAGUAAAACAUUUUUGAUUAAAAAAAAAGUUCAAACUAAUUUUAUAUUUUAAAACAAAAAAAAUGAAACUGUUUUUUAAUGAAAAUUCACAUGUAUUAAAACGAUAGAAUUGAUAAUGACAAAUUAUUUUUUGGAAAAAAUCUGAAAAACCCGAAAAGUCCUAUAGCUCUAUAAUGACCGGACCAGACUCGAAAUUCUAGACUCAAAAUAUUUUUGGACUGGAUCGAACUGAACCGAACUCAAAUAUUUACGGAUUUGCGAGUUUGGACAGGGCAGGACCAGCCCGAAUAACCUUUAACUGUGUAUACUGUUUUGCAUGAAUUCACAACAAAUAGUGAUGAAUUUUGCGAUAAAUGCAAAUAUAUAAUUAUAUGUUGUGAUUUUAUUACCCAAAUAAAAUCGACGAAAUAUGGAAGAUUGUAUGAGUCAAAUAAAAUCAACCAGAUAUGGAAGAUUUAAUUAUUGACAGGUAAUGUUAAACAGAACAUUAAAUAGAGACUUUUUUGGUCAAUUAAUUGAGACUUUCCAUGAUUUCCUAGGUAAAGAAUCCUAUAAAUAAAACUCUUCACGGAGAAUUAUAAUGCAAUAUAACUUCUUCUCAAUAUAAUACUAACAAAAUCUCUAUAACAUGGGUAUCAGAAAAACCUCGAUAGCAAUUUUUUUUGUAGUGAUAUUAACAAUUUCGAUUUCUAACCACAACGUUUCGGCUGUGACAGUGAUCGAGAAAGCAACCCCUCCCCCGUGCCUUUUUCUAUGUAAUGGUUUUCCACUUAACAAUUUUGCAUGUUGGCGUGAUUGUGGAUUGAAGGGGUACUAUGAUGGACGCUGUGGUGGAAAUCCGUCCAGGUGUUGUUGCCGUAAUUAAUCGAUUAUCUUUAUAAAGUAAUUUGGCAAAUUGAGUUAAGUGAUGAACUUUAUAAUUGUUGCUUUUCAGUUUAUUGAGAAUGAAUAAAACAUAAAUCAUGAUACUACAGUUUAUAUAUAUA